CCGCCGCCUCUCGGGCGCCUGCGCUCACGCUGCGGGGCCCAGCGCAUUGUGAGCCGGGUCGAGCUCCACGCUGGCAGCGUCUGAGAGCUGUCCUGGGCCGGAGGUGGCGCGAACCCUGUGCGGCCUAGAGUGGGCCUGGGGAAGCCAGCUGCCAUGUUCUGAGUACUCUCUGGAAGGGCCUGCAUGGCAAGGAACUGAUGUUUCCAGCCAGCAGCCAGCAAGAACUGCAAGCCUUGUGAAUGAGCUUGGAAGCAGAUCCUCCCCUCACUCAAGCCAUGAUAUGACAACAGCCUGAGACCCAGAGGUGGACGGUGGUGAGCUGUGUUUCCAGGCAAAGGGGAGGACAGGACGCCUUGUGGCAGCCCAAGCUGUGAAAAAUAGAAUCAGAAAUCUGAGCGUAGGAAGAAGUGGGUUAGCCCUGGAGAAAGGAAAAGGAGGAUCAUGGUUCUCUGCAAAGAGCUGGAAGCUAAAAAGCA
rnacentral:lncRNA from 1 species